AGAUGGCUGCUGCAAGGACCAAGAACAGUCAGUGCUUAGAGGAGCUGCCUGCGAGAAACAUUGAGGAGAGCUGAUCUGGUGUGGGCUGUUUGAGCAGCUCAGUGCUGACAGGGACCAAAUCCAGUGACCAGGACCGACCCUAUGGAGUCACCCUGGUGAAACAGCACAGAAUGCAGACAAUCCCCUGCACACAAGGAAACAGCCCCAGUGAUCACAGACUGAGUUUUCAUGUAGUUGGACUUGGUGGUGUGUGAGCAAAUGAAAGAGCAGCUUCAUGCCUUAUGAAAUAACAAAUAGUAAAUCAGCUACUAAUACAAUUCACAGAGGCUGCUAAAAGGCUGCUGGAGGUCACAAAAACAGCAACCUUUUGAGGUGAUGAGAUGGGAGCUUCUUAAGUCAACACAUGCAGUUGGCUUCUCCCUGGCAGUGCUCCACUGUGGGGCAGGAUCCAGGCUCUGAUGCCUUCCCCCUCUGGCAGAUGCUGUGAGUGUGUGAAUGUCCUCUCUAAUUCCAGAUUAGCCACAAAGAGGAGUCAUCAUCCUUAAGGAGCAGGCAUGCUUGGAAAGGAAAGGCUGUCUGGAGGCUGCAGGGCACAGCACUAUCCUCAGGUGCUUUGAGAUGUCUGAGCAAGGUUCCUAGCACUAAAGGAGGAGAGGGAAAAAAUGUGCUUUUCAUGCUGAGGGCUGCGUGCCACUGGAACUCAGCUUCCCUGCUAGCCCAGGAUUUCUCAAGCUUGGCUUAAUAAAAUCCAGAUCUCAUCUAAUGAGUUCAGAGGAUGCUUCAGAAUGUCUCAACGCGGAAAGUGCUGAUUUUGCACACCAAGCCAAGGAAGGUUUAUGGCACUAAAAGAGUCUCCAAAGUCUUUAUCCUCCCUGACUUGAAGGAGAAAAAGCACCCUGGGCUGUUAGCAGCACCUCUGCUCCUCCUGCAGCACAUUGUGACUUGGCUUUUAUUGCAACUGUGCCUGUCCUCAUGUCACAACCUCUCUGCCAGUGCU